CAAAGAGAAUUUUAUCAAAAUGGUUCACUGUACAUGUAAAGAAACACACCUAUACAAGUGUAAAAUUGUUGCUGAACAUGUGAAAACAUAUGUACAAAACCUAUCCUGCAUUCCAUGUGGUGCUGUCCGCAACCAUGGGCACCAAACAGAAACAAUCAUUUAGACUGGAAAGCAAGCAUCUUUAACACUGUGUUUACCAGCGGCAAAUUCCAGGUGUCUCUGUUCGCAAAAUCGAAACCAUCUCUUCAUACUUGGAAGCAUAUACAAAGCCCCAUAACUCAACUUCCUUAACUUCAAAGUCUUCAGUAUGUGCCAAACAAGAAUUUCCAUAAGUUUCUGAUGUUGCACUUGAACCUGUUAGCAGAUCCCCGUCUAAGUAGAGAGCAAAAUGGCCACCGCCUCCCAAAGCUAAAUACUCCGUGGAACAGACAGUAAAAUAGCGAUUGACACCUGUGGGACGAAAUAUGACAGGUUGGCCAGAUACAUUUGAGAAAACAAAUGAAUUGUUUGUACCCUGAUAUCUUCUCUUUGUUGUUGGCUUUAAAGGUGCAUCAACUAGCCCACCAAACACAGCACCAUUAUGGUCCCCCACAACCAGCAGACUGAUGCCAGGCCAGAGUAGGCUUCUCCUGUAUAAAGUCGAGAGUGAUAUUCCAUUCUUCCAUGUACUGUAUAACAAGACCCACUUCCUGUCCUGCACAAGCACAGGCAGUGCAGCAUAAAGAGAAAUUCGUGCCUUCUCAGUGAGGAGAACUGAAGGCUCAGAAGUUCCCGGAAGAUUGUUCAGAAGAGGUUUCUUAUUCAUAUCUUCCAAAGGUAUUUGAUUAUCUCCGGAAACUUUAGAAUUACUUCCAUCAUCAAACACCAUAUCAGAGCUGCCCUUUGCCGAACCCUGAUUCCUAAAGCCGCCUAGUCUAGCAACUUGGUGAAGAGCUCUGCCGAGGGAAUGUUUACCCCUGGAAAGUAUACCUUUUCUUCUGCUAGGUUCCCUCAUUGUAAGUUCAGGUAUUGACUCAUCACGAUCAUCUUGCUUAUCAUAUUUUCCAAUAGUGUUAGGCUUACUCUCGGAUCCUGUGGUCGACAACAGUGAAUAUAGGAACGCUGAGAAAGAAGAUGUAUCAGGACCGUCAACUAAAUCAGUGGCAUCUCCCUCUGCAUUUGACUCAUGCUUACUUCCGUCAGAAUCAGAUCCAUCUUCAGGCAAAGGUGGUGGUCUGGGCUUUAAGGGUUUAUCAGAUAUGGGGUUAAGAAUAACAGUAGCAACAUCCGAUACAAAGUGCGCAGCUUUACUCCUUAAAGAACGGUUCUUCCUCUGCUGCUGCUGCUGCUCCUGAUGAUUAUGAUUAUGAAGAAGAUUCUCUUCAAAUUGCUGUUGAUUUUCACUACCCAUUACUUCUAAAAAGCUAUAAGUAGUAUUCUCCUUUAUGACAACAACAAAUUCCACUACUUUUUUGGGGUUUGUGAUGCUCUAAAACGCCAUUAAUGGUGAAAAAGAG
rnacentral:misc_RNA from 1 species